AGUGAACGCUGGCGGUAGGCCUAACACAUGCAAGUCGAACGGCAGCACAGUAAGAGCUUGCUCUUACGGGUGGCGAGUGGCGGACGGGUGAGGAAUACAUCGGAAUCUACUUUUUCGUGGGGGAUAACGUAGGGAAACUUACGCUAAUACCGCAUACGACCUACGGGUGAAAGCAGGGGAUCUUCGGACCUUGCGCGAUUGAAUGAGCCGAUGUCGGAUUAGCUAGUUGGCGGGGUAAAGGCCCACCAAGGCGACGAUCCGUAGCUGGUCUGAGAGGAUGAUCGGCCACAUUGGAACUGAGACACGGUCCAGACUCCUACGGGAGGCAGCAGUGGGGAAUAUUGGACAAUGGGGGCAAGCCUGAUCCAGCCAUACCGCGUGGGUGAAGAAGGCCUUCGGGUUGUAAAGCCGUUUUGUUGGGAAAGAAAAGCAGCAGGUUAAUACCACGCGGUUCUGACGGUACCCAAAGAAGAAGCACCGGCUAACUUCGUG
rnacentral:rRNA from 1 species